CUCUGAUCCUUCCAUUUCACAAGGGAGUACCCAGGGCAGAGGCUUGGCAAUACAUCUCUUUCUAUGAAAAAGAAGAAUCUCCAAAUGAAUUCCUACUCGAAUUUGCAAAAUUAGAUUUCAAUCGAGUGCAAUUAUUGCAGAGAGAGGAGCUCAAGGUGAUGGCAAGGUGGUGGAAAGACUUAAAUCUUGCAGAGAAACUUCCCUAUGCAAGAGACAGACUUGUGGAAAUCUAUUUCUGGGCGUGUUCCAUUCAGUUUGAGCCUCAACUUGCUCUUUCAAGGAUGAUGAUGGCCAAGUAUUUGAAAAUGAUAUCACUAGCUGAUGACACAUACGAUGCAUAUGCUACAAUGAAGGAAGUCAAUGCCUUCACAGAUGCUAUCGAGAGGUGCAGUAUUGAUGCUACUGACGAGCUGCCAGAUUACAUGAAAGUUUUCUACAAGGAAUUACUGAAUGUUUUUGAGGAAACAGAGAAUAUUGCGAGUAAGGAAGGAAGAUCCUACUGUGCCUAUUACGUAAAAGAAGAAUUUAAAAACUUGUUGAGAUCCUAUCGCAUGGAGGCACAGUGGUUUAAUGGAAGGGUAUGUGCCAACAUUUGAUGUGUAUUUGCAAAAUGGUUCUGAGUCAAGCAGCUAUGGC
rnacentral:misc_RNA from 1 species